rnacentral:rRNA from 1 species
AGCGACCUUGCCUCGUGGUGGGGGAUAGCCGGCCCAACGGCCGGGUAAUACCGCAUAGGGUGCUUCUCUCGCAUGGGAGAGGUAGCAAAGCUUUGGAGCAAUCCAAGGCGCCACAGGGGGGCUCGCGGCCUAUCAGCUAGUUGGGGGGGUAAUGGCCCACCAAGGCGACGACGGGUAGCUGGUCUGAGAGGAUGGCCAGCCACAUUGGGACUGAGAGACGGCCCAG